rnacentral:rRNA from 1 species
GACAGAGGGUGCAAACGUUGUUCGGAAUUACUGGGCGUAAAGCGCGUGUAGGCGGCUGCGCAAGUCGGAUGUGAAAUCCCAUGGCUCAACCAUGGAAGUGCACCCGAAACUGCGUAGCUAGAGUCUCGGAGAGGAAGGCGGAAUGCUUGGUGUAGAGGUGAAAUUCGUAGAUAUCAAGCGGAACACCGGUGGCGAAGGCGGCCUUCUGGACGAUGACUGACGCUGAGACGCAAAAGCGUGGGGAGCAAACAGG